rnacentral:rRNA from 1 species
GACGAACGCUGGCGGCGUGCUUAACACAUGCAAGUCGAACGCUGAAGCACCAGCUUGCUGGUGUGGAUGAGUGGCGAACGGGUGAGUAAUACGUGAGUAACCUGCCCUUGACUCUGGGAUAAGCCCGGGAAACUGGGUCUAAUACUGGAUGCUACAUGUCACCGCAUGGUGGUGUGUGGAAAGGGUUUACUGGUCUUGGAUGGGCUCACGGCCUAUCAGCUUGUUGGUGAGGUAAUGGCUCACCAAGGCGACGACGGGUAGCCGGCCUGAGAGGGUGACCGGCCACACUGGGACUGAGACACAGCCCAGACUCCUACGGGAGGCAGCAGUGGGGAAUAUUGCACAAUGGGCGAAAGCCUGAUGCAGCGACGCCGCGUGAGGGAUGACGGCCUUCGGGUUGUAAACCUCUUUCAGCAGGGAAGAAGCCACAAGUGACGGUACCUGCAGAAGAAGCGCCGGCUAACUACGUG